AAGGCCAAUCAAACUUGGAGAUAGCUGGUUCUCCGCGAAAGCUAUUGAGGUAGCGCGGCAGACGAAUUCCUUCGGGGGUAGAGCACUGGAUGGGCUAGGGGGUCUCAACCACUUACCAAACCUAACCAAACUCCGAAUACCGAAGAGAACUAUCUGCCAGACAGACGGCGGGUGCUAACGUCCGUCGUCGAGAGGGAAAAAACCCUGAUCGCCGUCUAAGGUCCCCAAGUCAUGGCUAAGUGGGAAAGGAUGUGGAGAUCCCCUGACAACCAGGAUGUUGGCUUAGAAGCAGCCAUCAUUUAAAGAAAGCGUAACAGCUCACUGGUCGAGGGUCUCUGCGCCGAAAAUGUAACGGGGCUCAAGCCAUGCACCGAAGACGCGGGUUCAACAGCAAUGUUGAGCGGUAGCGGAGCGUUCCGUAGGCCUGUGAAGGUGAACCGUGAGGUUUGCUGGAGGUAUCGGAAGUGCGAAUGCUGACAUGAGUAACGACAAAGAGGGUGAAAGACCCUCUCGCCGUAAGCCCAAGGGUUCCUGCGUAAAGUUAAUCUGCGCAGGGUUAGCCGGCCCCUAAGCCGAGGCCGAAAGGCGUAGGCGAUGGGAACCACGUUAAUAAUCGUGGGCCUGGAGAUGAGUGACGGAUCCAAUCUUUUGUUCGCCCUUAUCGGAUUGGGCGGGCGGGGGUGCGGGUUCCAGGAAAUAGCCUCUCCACUAUAGACCGUACCCGAAACCGACACAGGUGGGCUGGUUGAGCAUACUCAGGCGCUUGAGAGAACUGUAUCGAAGGAACUAGGCAAAUUACCCUCGUAACUUCGGGAGAAGAGGGCCCAUUCAGAGCGCAAGCUUUGGGUGGGGGCACAAGCCAGGGGGUGGCGACUGUUUAUUAAAAACACAGGGCUCUGCGAAGCCGCAAGGCGACGUAUAGGGUCUGACGCCUGCCCGGUGCCGGAAGGUUAAGAGGAGAGGUGCAAGCCUUGAAUCGAAGCCCCGGUAAACGGCGGCCGUAACUAUAACGGUCCUAAGGUAGCGAAAUUCCUUGUCGGGUAAGUUCCGACCUGCACGAAUGGCGUAACGACUUCCCCACUGUCUCCGAUACAGACUCAGUGAAAUUGAAUUCCCCGUGAAGAUGCGGGGUUCCCGCGGUCAGACGGAAAGACCCCGUGCACCUUUACUGCAACUUUACACUGGCAUUAGGAAUGGAAUGUGUAGGAUAGGUGGUAGGCAUUGAAGCGGAGGCGCUAGCUUUCGUGGAGUCAACCUUGAAAUACCACCCUUUUUGUUCCUGAUGUCUAACCGCGACCCGUCACCGGGUCCGAGACAGUGUAUGGUAGGCAGUUUGACUGGGGCGGUCGCCUCCCAAAGAGUAACGGAGGCGCGCGAUGGUAGGCUCAAUCCGGUCGGAAAUCGGAUGUUGAGUGCAAUGGCAAAAGCCUGCCUGACUGCAAGGUCGACGGACCAAGCAGAGACGAAAGUCGGUCAUAGUGAUCCGGUGGUCCCGAGUGGAAGGGCCAUCGCUCAACGGAUAAAAGGUA
rnacentral:rRNA from 1 species